GAUGAACGCUGGCGGCGUGCCUAAUACAUGCAAGUCGAGCGAACAGAUGAGGAGCUUGCUCCUCUGACGUUAGCGGCGGACGGGUGAGUAACACGUGGAUAACCUACCUAUAAGACUGGGAUAACUUCGGGAAACCGGAGCUAAUACCGGAUAAUAUAUUGAACCGCAUGGUUCAAUAGUGAAAGACGGUUUUGCUGUCACUUAUAGAUGGAUCCGCGCCGCAUUAGCUAGUUGGUAAGGUAACGGCUUACCAAGGCAACGAUGCGUAGCCGACCUGAGAGGGUGAGCGGCCACACUGGAACUGAGACACGGUCCAGACUCCGACGGGAGGCAGCAGUAGGGAAUCUUCCGCAAUGGGCGAAAGCAUGACGGAGCAACGCCGCGUGAGUGAUGAAGGUCUUCGGAUCGUAAAACUCUGUUAGUAGGGAAGAACAAAUGUGUAAGUAACUAUGCACGUCUUGACGGUACCUAAUCAGAAAGCCACGGCUAACUACGUG
rnacentral:rRNA from 1 species